GGUGGAGACCAAACCUGGAGAUAAAAGAGGAACACUGGACUUAAACUGUUCCCAGAUCGUGUUCCUGCUGCUUCACAGGAGAAACUCACGACAGUCGUGAAACAAUGAUGAAAUGUUUGUGACCUCAUCUACGCGCUCUGUGUGACGUCAUGAUGCCGAUUGUUGUCUCUGUCUCUUAGCAACGGCAGCGACGCUCCGCAGACCACCGCCUGGAGCAGCACAGUCCCGCCCAGCCGCCCCCCCGGCCCCGGGCCCCCAGAUGUGGACUUCUGUGACCUGUUGUACUGUGACGAGGUGUACUGCUGCCCGUCGACAGCAGAGGGCAGCACUGACUUCAACGUCACUGGGCCGGGCGGAGCAGAAAAAACAAACGUGACAGGAAAACUUUAUCACCAACUAGAAGGUUCCAAAGACUGGAGAAACACCACCAUCCAUUCUUUCCUGAUCAAAGAGAACCAGCAGCUGAUCGACAGUAGAUACUGCGUCAGAGACGACUGUGGUCCAGGUAGAUUCAUCUACAGAGUUCCCAUCAGCCCCUUCGUCCCCGUCAACAUGAGAGUCACUCUGCUCAUGAA